ACACACAAACUCACACGACCUUCUAGCAGAAGCUCCAAGCUAAUAAAGUGAAAGUAAAGGGUCACAGAGGAGCCUGGAGCCUAUCCCAGGGAACUCAGGGCACAAGGUGGGAGACACCUUGGCACAGGGUGCCAACGCAUCGCAGGGUACAAUCCCACACAUUCACACACUAUGGACAAUUUGGAAACGGCAAUCAACCUACAGCAAAUGUCUUUGGAAUGGGGGAGGAAACAGGAGUACCUGGAGGAAACCCCCGAAGCAUGAGGAGAACAUAGGGCAGAGGGGGGAUUCAAGCCCCAACCCCAGAGGGAUGACAUUUAAAAAGAUCACUGAAUGAGUGCAAGGAACUCAUUUAAAUAGUGUGAAAGAGAGAAGAAGAAGAAAAGUGGAAAGAUUGGAAGGGAAGAAGAAGCAGGUAAAAUGGCUGGUUAAUGCAUACGCAUGACUAAUAUCUCUCUCUGCAGGUGCCUCAGUC
ensembl:lncRNA